rnacentral:rRNA from 1 species
UACGAAGGGGGCUAGCGUUGCUCGGAAUCACUGGGCGUAAAGCGCACGUAGGCGGAUUGCUAAGUCAGGGGUGAAAUCCUGGAGAUCAACUCCAGAACUGCCCUUGAUACUGGCGGUCUCGAGUCCGGGAGAGGUGAGUGGAACUGCGAGUGUAGAGGUGAAAUUCGUAGAUAUUCGCAAGAACACCAGUGGCGAAGGCGGCUCACUGGCCCGGUACUGACGCUGAGGUGCGAAAGCGUGGGGAGCAAACAGG